AAGUGUCGCAGUAUCUUUCCUCUGCCAAAAAGGGCAUUGAGAUGGUGAGCCUUCAUGCUUUUCUAUUCUUAGCUGGAGAAACCUUCUCUCUUCCAAAGUCUGGUACCGCCCCUGCAUCUAGAUUUAUAAGAGACGCAGAUCCUCGGCACUGGUUUGGCACAAGACUUCCCGAGCAGGACAAGUAACCCACAAAAUGUAGCCAGUAUCCAGGGCUGCUCACAGCUUUGCUUCUUGUUAAGGAAGAUGAUGGUCUUAAAAUGGUUUUACCACAAGAAACUUCCCCUACAUGGAAUAUACCUGUUGCUUUCCCCUGAGGCCUCACACUGCCACUCUGAGGAGUAUAAUGAUAGAUCCAGAGGGUUUACCACAGAUCAUGGGGAGACAAUACAGGCCAACGCUGGCAUGUGAAGACUCCAAGAAACGAAUCACAAGACCCUGAACUCUCCCCGACACACCCUCUGUGGAUCUGCCAAGUCCAGGGACAGAGCUGGCUGGACUUUUCUCACAGUAAUGUACAGUAUGAGUAAACUUUUAUGACCAAAACCUUUAUCCAACACUGAGCUAUUAAACUGAGUAUUGCUAUUGUUGUCACUGGCCCCUUACAGCAGAAAUUGUCCAUUUAAUGGUUUAAAAAUGAUUGUCAUCAGCUGGAGUAAUUAAAACCCCUUAUUGUAACCAUAUAAUUCAUUUUGGUGCUUGAUAUUAAAAUAUUAAUAAAAGUGAAAAUGCAUUGCUCAAUGUCUCCCCUUGUUUCUGUCGGCUGAGGCCGGGGAUUGUGCUAUGUGGGUGACUCUAAAGGACUUUGAAGAAGUGCAGACACUGCUGCUUGAUGAAGCUGAUGCCAAAAAUGAAAGAUUUGCUCCUUUAUUUCUGUAGGAGUGUUACAGAAUAGGUGAUAGAGAGGUCGUGUAAUGUUGCUGGAUGGGGUGUUGAACACCUCUGGGAAGCAUAUUGAAGUUUUCAACCAGCCUACCUCCCAGUGCUAAAGCUUUAGCACGACCUCCUGGUGGGCUGUGACCUCUAAGAGUAGAUGUAAGCGAGAAAAUCAUUUCCCCAUCAGAGCUUACAGAAAUAUCACGCUGUUAAUUUCACAAGAGCCUUAGAGGGAGACACUGUGUCUUGUUAAGUACUCACUGGUUGAAGCUGCCGCUUCUUCUCUCCAAGACUACAUAAAGCAUUUCUUGUUAUAAGCAGUAGAAGAAGAUGGUGUGCAGGUUUCUCUGAAUGAGGAUCAGAAUGACUCUGAAUAAACCCGAGAAUGUCUGAAGGACUUCUCUGUGUUAAUUAUUAUUUUCUACAUUAAUCACCAAAAUUAUACACACUAUGAAAAAUGAGCAACGUGUGUGGGACAAAUCAUUCAGCUUAGUUACACAAAUAGACGAUUAAAAGUAAAAGACCUUUAAUGAGUAUGACUGAGUUUAUCAUAUUAUAUAUGUUUGUUCACCAUGUUCUCAAAUGCAUGAAUGCUCCAAGUACAUUUAAUAUAUUGCUUUAUCAGAAGUUUUGAGAAAAAAAGGAGGCAGGUCUAAUAAAUAACUUUUCCCUGAAACAUUUCAAUUCCUGUCUUUCAAAGGGGAAUCAGCCACUCCUACUAUUGUGGAGCACUAAAUCUUAUCUAUAUGAUAAGAAGGCUCAUUCAAGUGCAGCCAGAUGUUAGGUUUGUGCCUCAAAAGAGGAAC